rnacentral:rRNA from 1 species
AAAAAAAUGAAUCAAAACUUUCAACAACGGAUCUCUUGGUUCUGGNAUCGAUGAAGAACGCAGCNAAAUGCGAUAAGUAAUGUGAAUUGCAGAAUUCAGUGAAUCAUNGAAUCUUUGAACGCACAUUGCGCCCUNUGGUAUUCCGGAGGGCAUGCCUGUUCGAGCGUCAUUUCAACCCUCAAGCAGCCUUGCUUGG